UACGUAGGCAGCGAGCGUUGUUCGGAGUUACUGGGCGUAAAGGGUGUGUAGGCGGUUGUUUAAGUUUGGUGUGAAAUCUCCCGGCUCAACUGGGAGGGUGCGCCGAAUACUGAAUGACUAGAGUGCGGGAGAGGAAAGUGGAAUUCCUGGCGUAGCGGUGAAAUGCGUAGAUAUCAGGAGGAACACCGGUGGUGUAGACGGCUUUCUGGACCGUAACUGACGCUGAGACACGAAAGCGUGGGUAGCAAACAGG
rnacentral:rRNA from 1 species